GUGCUCGCUUCAGCAGCACAUAUACUAAAAUUGGAAUGAUACAGAGAAGCAUGGCCCCUGCGCAAGGAUGACACGCAAAUUCGUGAAGAUUUCAUCACACUC
ensembl:snRNA U6 U6 spliceosomal RNA